CGCGCUACCAUGCAGUCGAGGGGUACAGAGGAGCUUGCUUCUGCUGACGACCGGCGCACGGGUGCGUAACGCGUAUACAAUCUGCCUUGCACUAAGGGAUAGCCCAGAGAAAUUUGGAUUAAUACCUUAUGGUUUAUUGAGAUGGCAUCAUUUUAAUAAUAAAGAUUACGGUGUAAGAUGAGUAUGCGUACCAUUAGUUUGUUGGUAAGGUAACGGCUUACCAAGACUACGAUGGUUAGGGGCCCUGAGAGGGGGAUCCCCCACACUGGUACUGAGACACGGACCAGACUCCUACGGGAGGCAGCAGUGAGGAAUAUUGGACAAUGGAGGAGACUCUGAUCCAGCCAUGCCGCGUGCAGGAAGACGGUCCUAUGGAUUGUAAACUGCUUUUAUACAGGAAGAAUAAGGACUACGUGUAGUCUGGUGACGGUACUGUAAGAAUAAGGACCGGCUAACUCCGUGCCAGCAGCCGCGGUAAUACGGAGGGUCCGAGCGUUAUCCGGAAUUAUUGGGUUUAAAGGGUCCGUAGGCGGGCCAUUAAGUCAGGGGUGAAAGUUUGCAGCUCAACUGUAGAAUUGCCUUUGAUACUGAUGGUCUUGAAUUAUUGUGAAGUGGUUAGAAUAUGUAGUGUAGCGGUGAAAUGCAUAGAUAUUACAUAGAAUACCGAUUGCGAAGGCAGAUCACUAACAAUACAUUGACGCUGAUGGACGAAAGCGUGGGUAGCGAACAGGAUUAGAUACCCUGGUAGUCCACGCCGUAAACGAUGGAUACUAGCUGUGUGGUUUUCGGACUGCGCGGCCAAGCGAAAGUGAUAAGUAUCCCACCUGGGGAGUACGUUCGCAAGAAUGAAACUCAAAGGAAUUGACGGGGGCCCGCACAAGCGGUGGAGCAUGUGGUUUAAUUCGAUGAUACGCGAGGAACCUUACCAGGGCUUAAAUGUAGAUUGACAGGUUUAGAGAUAGACUUUCCUUCGGGCAAUUUACAAGGUGCUGCAUGGUUGUCGUCAGCUCGUGCCGUGAGGUGUCAGGUUAAGUCCUAUAACGAGCGCAGCCCCUGUUGUUAUUUACCAG
rnacentral:rRNA from 1 species